CCAACGGGAGGCUGCAGUGGGGAAUAUUGGACAAUGGGCGAAAGCCUGAUCCAGCCAUGCCGCGUGUGUGAAGAAGGCCUUCGGGUUGUAAAGCACUUUCAGUGGGGAAGAAAGCCUUGGGGCUAAUACCCUCGAGGAAGGACAUCACCCACAGAAGAAGCACCGGCUAACUCCGUGCCAGCAGUCGCGGUAAUACGGAGGGUGCGAGCGUUAAUCGGAAUUACUGGGCGUAAAGCGCGCGUAGGCGGUCUGAUAAGCCGGUUGUGAAAGCCCCGGGCUCAACCUGGGAACGGCAUCCGGAACUGUCAGGCUAGAGUGCAGGAGAGGAAGGUAGAAUUCCCGGUGUAGCGGUGAAAUGCGUAGAGAUCGGGAGGAAUACCAGUGGCGAAGGCGGCCUUCUGGACUGACACUGACGCUGAGGUGCGAAAGCGUGGGUAGCAAACAGGAUUAGAUACCCUGUAGUC
rnacentral:rRNA from 1 species